rnacentral:rRNA from 1 species
AACGAACGCUGGCGGCAUGCCUAACACAUGCAAGUCGAACGAAGCCUUCGGGCUUAGUGGCGCACGGGUGCGUAACGCGUGGGAAUCUGCCCUUUGGUUCGGAAUAACAGUUGGAAACGACUGCUAAUACCGGAUGACGACGAAAGUCCAAAGAUUUAUCGCCAGGGGGAUGAGCCCGCGUAGGAUUAGCUAGUUGGUGUGGUAAAGGCGCACCAAGGCGACGAUCCUUAGCUGGUCUGAGAGGAUGAUCAGCCACACUGGGACUGAGGCACGGCCCGGACUCCUACGGGAGGCAGCAGUGGGGAAUAUUGGACAAUGGGCGAAAGCCUGAUCCAGCAAUGCCGCGUGAGUGAUGAAGGCCCUAGGGUUGUAAAGCUCUUUUACCCGGGAUGAUAAUGACAGUACCGGGAGAAUAAGCCCCGGCUAACUCCGUGCCAGCCGCCGCCGUAA